CCCCCGCCGUGCUCAGCAACCUUCGCCAGGAGGUCGUCCUUCCUGGCGCCGACAAUUUUGUGGACUUCCUUGCCCUCCUUGAUGAGGAGGAAGGUCGGCAUCGCCUCGACCUUGUAUUCAGCGGCGACUUCCUGUUGAACAAGGAAACAGCGUUAGUACGACGUUACAGGGCAAGGGCAAGUGUUUUGGAGAACUAUCGGUACACCGUGCUCACCUUCAGCUCGUCAACGUCCACCUUGAGGAAGACAACGUGGGGAUAACUCUUGGCGAGUUCAGCAAAAACUGGGGCAAUGAUGCGGCAAGGACCACACCAGGAGGCAGUGAAGUCGAUGACCACCUGGGGUGCAAAAAAGUUGACAAAUGCCCCAAA
rnacentral:lncRNA from 1 species